rnacentral:rRNA from 1 species
CAGCUCGCCGCGGUAAUACGAAGGGGGCUAGCGUUAAUCGGAAUUACUGGGCGUAAAGCGUGCGUAGGCGGUUUGUUAAGUCUGUUGUGAAAUCCCCGGGCUCAACCUGGGAAUGGCAAUGGAUACUGGCAAGCUAGAGUGUGUCAGAGGAUGGUGGAAUUCCCGGUGUAGCGGUGAAAUGCGUAGAGAUCGGGAGGAACAUCAGUGGCGAAGGCGGCCAUCUGGGACAACACUGACGCUGAGGCACGAAAGCGUGGGGAGCAAACAGGAUUAGAUACCCGGGUAGUCCCUGUCUCUUAUA